GAUGAACGCUGGCGGCGUGCCUAAUACAUGCAAGUCGAGCGAAUGGAUUAAGAGCUUGCUCUUAUGAGGUUAGCGGCGGACGGGUGAGUAACACGUGGGUAACCUGCCCAUAAGACUGGGAUAACUCCGGGAAACCGGGGCUAAUACCGGAUAACAUUUUGAACCGCAUGGUUCGAAAUUGAAAGGCGGCUUCGGCUGUCAUUUAUGGAUGGACCCGCGUCGCUAUUAGCUAGUUGGUGAGGUAACGGCUCACCAAGGCAACGAUGCGUAGCCUACCUGGGGAGGUGAUCCGGCACAAUGGGACUGGAACACUGACCAGACUCCUACAGGAGGCAGCAGUAGGGAAUCUUCCGCAAGGGACGUAAGUCUGACGGAGCAAAGCCGCGUGAGUGAUGAAGGCUUUCGGGUCGUAAAACUCUGUUGUUAGGGAAGAACAAGUGCUAGUUGAAUAAGCUGGCACCUUGACGGUACCUAACCAGAAAGCCACGGCUAACUACGUGCCAGCCGCCGCAGUAA
rnacentral:rRNA from 1 species